rnacentral:lncRNA from 7 species
CUGCUAACAUCUUAGCUGUGUCCUUUUCUGUUUCAGUCUGUUCUCCUGUCCUCAUCCUGGAUGAGGAGCUACGAGAUAUGGUUUAGUGGCUUGUGGUAGCAAGGGUAAUGGGAGGACGAUUGGACUAGCUGAUCUUGCAGGUCCCUUCCAACCUUGUGAUUCUAUGAUUCUGUGAUUCUAUGAUCUGGGAAACCGUCUUUCCUCCUCACAUCAUUGCCACUGUUUUGGUUUCAGGCCUGUCUCCCGUCUCCGUGCCCUUCCCCAGUUUUCUCCUUUCCCCUUUCCCGGGGUGUGGGUCUGUGGGUCCCUGCCCCCGUUAUAUCACAGCAGCUGGCUGAACUGGGCUGUAAACUGUUGGCACCCCUCUGUAGCCCCUUUUGUUCGGACUGGUGGGCCUGUGGGCUCGCAGCCCUCUGUCACAGGCACAGAUAAAUCUAAAGAUAACUCCACCUGGGAAGGUGCUGGGGAGAAGACAACGCUGCGGUCUCAGCCCCUAACAGUGCCCACCGCAGGACAAGCAGAGAAGAAUGAAGCCAACACAUGUGGAGUAUGUUGAAGGUUUAUUUUCUUAGCUGCUUGGAACCACAGCCAUCACGUGGGGAUGGGACACGGCCGCUUCUGCACCGUCUUUGGGACUGGCUGUGGGGACGUCUUCUCUGAUGCUGGUGGCUAUGGGGACGUCUUCUCUGUUGCUGCACCUGAGAGAGGCUUUGUGCCCGGGCUGGUCCACUGAAGAAUGAAGCCAAUAUGUGUGGACUCUCUUCACGGUUUAUUUGCCGCUUGGAAGCACAACCGUCACGUGGGGAUGGAACAGGGUGGCUGCUUCAGCGCCGCCUUUGGGACCGGCUGCGGGGACGUCUUCUGCGAUGUUGGGCCCGGGAGCGGCUUGGUGCCCGGGCCGGUCCCCGCUGCCUGGACCGGCUCCCACGGCCUCCUCGGGGCCGGCUGCGGGAAGUCGAAGCGCGACGCCCCACUGGGGAUCGGCUUCGAGUGUGGGCCCGCCCUCGCUGCCUGGAUUGCCUCCUGCGUGCAGGCAGAGGGGAAGCCCUCGAGGACCUCGGUGGUGCUGGUCUGGCCGAGGUGCGAGUGCUGCUCUGAGCACCUCGGGCUGUUGUACGGCUGGUGCCACGGCAUCUUCGGGGCCGACUCUGGGAGCCUGAGGCCCGACCUUGCAAUGGGGAACGGCUUCUUGUGCGGCCAGUCCCCCGCUGCCUGGGAUGCUUUCUGGGUGCAGCUGCCGGGGAUGGCCCCGGUGCCAUCUGGCUGGAAGUGCUGGGGAUGCCGAGGUCGUAGUUGCGGCGGGACGCUGUAGGGAGAGACAGGAAGGUCAGCAGGAUGAACCUCCAGCCCCAGGGCAAGACCGGCUGCCAUCCCCCAUGGGGCACAGAGACUGUGGCAAGGCCACCCUGAGCACCCAUUGCCAGGCCUUGCCUGGCCCCAGUCCCGCGGCACGCAGCUCUUUGCCUCUUACCAAUGGCCUCACCAGCACAGGUAUCGCACUCCCAGGUGCCUCCUCUGCUGUACCAGUAGGAGCAGUACCAGUGCGUGCCAUUUGCGGCACAGGAGCGGCAGAGGAGCAGCUGCCAGAGCCUGGGGAAGCAAAUGGGUUGUGGCUGUGAGGACGAAGUGAACUGAGGCAGGGAGCAGCCAGCAUGGCUCUGCUGCUCAGUCUUUGCUCCCCCAGCCUGUGGUGAGGCUGAGAUCCCACACAGAGCCCCAGAGGACUGCAGAGGUCACUCACCCCUGUUCCUCUGCCUCCUCCCUGCCUCUUCGGUAAUAGCAGAUGCUGACGUCACAGCGCCUGUGCCUUUCUCGCAGCGCCUGGUACGCUUCAUCGUCCCACCAAGAUGGUCGUCUGCCAGAGAAGAGGGGGAAUGUGAUGAGCCCCCGCUACCGUAGGCGUGAGGCAGAUCCAGGGCAUCCCUGCUCAUCCACCUUGAGCUCAUUCCCAGUUUCUCCAUGAAGCUGAGACCAACGCUCGCAGGGUGGCAAGGGACCCGGCCUGCCAGGGCAGCUCCUGGGCAGGCACAGCACCUGCGCCUGAGUGUCCGCAGAGCCGGGCAGAAGGACACUAACCUGACUGGAAUUUGGAUCCCCAGCUUAGCCAUUUUGGCACGGAAUCGCGCUUUUCCUCUGCAGACAGGGCAGACGAAGAGCAUGGUGGCAGCAUGCAUGGCCUGUUUCUGCAGGAGAAGCACAAGCAGCAUGAGCGUGAGCGAGGCUGGGUGCUGCUGAGCACUGGCCGUGCCCACCGGGCGAGGGGAGGGCUCCUACCCUGAUGCAGCCCCGGUGGAACCAGGCCUGUUUGCACGUCGGGCACACCAUGGUGUGGUAGGACGUGCUGUCCCCCACGGGCUCCAGGCAGAUGACGCAGAGAGUGUUGUGAGAUGGAGCUGCCUCCGCUGCCUGCCGAGGGCGAUGCUCACAGCAGAAGGACCUGGGCAGGAGGACAGAAGGGGUGGGCAAGGUGAGAAGUGCUGUGAGGAGGGCAGAGAACCAGGAAGGAGCACCAGGCCUGGGCUGUGGCAGGGUGCUGGGAGGUGUGGCUGCAUGGUCGUCCCUGGGAGGAACAGGGAGGAACGGCAGCUUGGCUGCUGCUGACAGCCCUUACCUGUGCUGCCCAAAGUACUGCGUGACGCAUUCCCCCUUCUCGGCGCAGGGCAGAUGGAAGCUGCGCUCACAGCCUGUCUCUGCGCAGCUGAUGGCAGCUCCCUUCCCACGACAGACAAAGCAGCGCUGGAAAGAGCAAAGCAGCCCCCAUCAGUGAUGGGCUCAGGGCCUCCGCGGCCGGCCCCACUGCUCUGGGCAGGGCACAGGGUGUGGGCACUGCUGCCUCACACUCUGCGGAGCGGCCAGGCAGACAAGGCUCGUUUGCUGUGGUGGGCCUAUGUCCUGGAGCCGGUUGGAAGGGCCGCAAUCACUUUUUCUGGGCCAAGGUGAAGCUGGUGUGAGUCUCUGCCAGCACCAACCUCCCUGUUCUGUUCAGGUCCUCACCUUCUGGUCUGCCAGCUGGAUUGUGUGCUGGAUGGCAUCCGGGGGGAAGCCAAAAAUUCCCCCCGUAGGGCGUUUCCAUUUCAAAAGGCCGUUGGCAAAGAACUGUAGGAGAGAAAAGAGCGGGAUCUCGUGAAGCCAGAAAGCAAG